AACGAACGCUGGCGGCAGGCUUAACACAUGCAAGUCGAACGGGUGUAGCAAUACAUCAGUGGCAGACGGGUGAGUAACACGUGGGAACCUUCCUAGGGGUACGGAACAACUCAGGGAAACUUGAGCUAAUACCGUAUACGUCCGUGAGGAGAAAGAUUUAUCGCCCUUAGACGGGCCCGCGUCGGAUUAGCUAGUUGGUGGGGUAACGGCCUACCAAGGCGACGAUCCGUAGCUGAUCUUAGAGGAUGAUCAGCCACACUGGGACUGAGACACGGCCCAGACUCCUACGGGAGGCAGCAGUGGGGAAUCUUGGACAAUGGGCGCAAGCCUGAUCCAGCCAUGCCGCGUGAGUGAAGAAGGUCUUCGGAUUGUAAAGCUCUUUUGCCAGGGACGAUAAUGACGGUACCUGGAGAAUAAGCCCCGGCAAACUUCGUGCCAGCAGCCGCAGUAACAC
rnacentral:rRNA from 1 species